rnacentral:tRNA from 9 species
GGACGAUUAGCUCAGCGGGAGAGCGCUUCCCUGACACGGAAGAGGUCACUGGUUCAAUCCCAGUAUCG